GUGCUCACUUUGGCAGCACAUAUACUAAAAUUGGAACCAUACACAGAUUAGCAUGGCCACUGUGCAAGGAUGACAUGCAAAUUGGUGAAGCGUUCCAUAUUUUU